GACAGAGGGUGCAAACGUUGUUCGGAAUUACUGGGCGUAAAGCGCGUGUAGGCAGCUCGGCAAGUCGGGUGUGAAAGCCCUGGGCUCAACCUAGGAAGUGCACUCGAAACUUCCGAGCUGGAGUACUGGAGAGGAAGGCGGAAUUCUCGGUGUAGAGGUGAAAUUCGUAGAUAUCAGGAGGAACAUCGGUGGCGAAGGCGGCUUACUGGACCAGUACUGACACUGAGGAGCGAAAGCAUGGGGAUCAAACAGG
rnacentral:rRNA from 1 species